GACGAACGCUGGCGGCGUGCUUAACACAUGCAAGUCGAACGCAGUGGCGAACGGGUGAGUAACGCGUAAUCAACCUGCCCUUCAGAGGGGGACAACAGUUGGAACCGACUGCUAAUACCUCAUACUGAAGGAGGGGAUUGCGUCUGAUUAGCUGGUUGGAGGGGUAACGGCCCACCGAGGCGAUGAUCAGUAGCCGGUCUGAGGGGAGGAACGGCCAAAUGGGGACUGAGAAACGGCCCAGACUGCUACGGGAGGCAGCAGUGGGGAAUCUUCGGCAAUGGACGAAAGUCUGACGGAGCAACGCCGCGUGAGUGAUGACGGCCGUCGGGUUGUAAAGCUCUGUUAAUCGGGACGCGGUACCGGAAUAGAAAGCCACGGCUAACUACGUGCCAGCAGCCGCGGUAAUUC
rnacentral:rRNA from 1 species